GCCCCAUUGGCGGAAUUGGUAGACGCGCUCGACUCAAAAUCGAGUUUCGAAAGAAGUGCUGGUUCGACCCCGGCAUGGGGCACCA
rnacentral:tRNA from 128 species